rnacentral:rRNA from 1 species
CUUCGAUCAGUAGCUGGUCUGAGAGGACGACCAGCCACACUGGAACUGAGACACGGUCCAGACUCCUACGGGAGGCAGCAGUGGGGAAUUUUGGACAAUGGGCGCAAGCCUGAUCCAGCCAUUCCGCGUGAGUGAAGAAGGCCUUCGGGUUGUAAAGCUCUUUCGCAAGGGAAGAAAACUUACUUUCUAAUAAAGAGUGAGGCUGACGGUACCUUGAUAAGAAGCACCGGCUAACUACGUGCCAGCAGCCGCGGUAAUACGUAGGGUGCGAGCGUUAAUCGGAAUUACUGGGCGUAAAGCGUGCGCAGGCGGUUUGGCAAGUCAGAUGUGAAAUCCCCGAGCUCAACUUGGGAACUGCGUUUGAAACUGCCAGACUAGAAUAUGUCAGAGGGGGGUAGAAUUCCACGUGUAGCAGUGAAAUGCGUAGAGAUGUGGAGGAAUACCAAUGGCGAAGGCAGCCCCCUGGGAUAAUAUUGACGCUCA